rnacentral:siRNA from 1 species
ACGGCGUGCCUCGGCAUCAGC